GGAGAGGUGCAGGAGUGGUUGAACUGGUCGCUCUCGAAAAGCGAUAGGCCCGCAAGGGUCUCGUGGGUUCGAAUCCCACCCUCUCCGCCA
rnacentral:tRNA from 1 species